rnacentral:rRNA from 1 species
AUUGAACGCUGGCGGCAUGCUUUACACAUGCAAGUCGAACGGCAGCGCGGGCUCCGGCUUGCCGGGGGGUGGCGACCGGGUGGGUAUUCCACCGGAACGUGCCCGGUGGGGGGGGUAGGCCCGCCGAAAGCGGGUUAAUUCCGCCAACGGACCUGAGGUUGAAGCGGGGGGUUCUUCGGACCUGGCGCUAUUGGACCGGCCGAUGGCAGAUUAGCUAGUUGGUGGGGUAAAGGCCUACCAAGGCGACGAUCUGUAGCUGGUCUGAGAGGACGACCAGCCACACUGGGACUGAGACACGGCCCAGACUCCUACGGGAGGCAGCAGUGGGGAAUUUUGGACAAUGGGCGAAAGCCUGAUCCAGCAAUGCCGCGUGUGUGAUGAAGGCCUUCGGGUUGUAAAGCACUUUUGGCGGGAACGAAAAGGACUGUGCCAAUACCACGGUUCGAUGACGGUACCCGCAGAAUAAGCACCGGCUAACUACGUG